UGUAAAGAAUUUACAUCUAUUGUUACGACCAAUCCACGGUAAGCGUGGGCGUGGUCAUCGACUGGGUAGGUUGAAAAAACUUGGCCAUAAUUAAAGCAAAGCUGGAGCCGUCACAGGCGUGAUUAGUAACUCUACAGGUCGCAUAGCUACAGUUAUUGGCUUUUCAAAUGUCACCUGUAAUUUAAAUUAUAUAAAAAUCUAUUUGGAAUAUAUAAAUACAAUCUCUUUCAUCGGCAGCGCGUUUUUAAUAACUAAGAUUAUUUGAUACGGCAUAGUUAAUUUAAUUAAAUACAGAGAAAAUAAGGAAAAUAUCCUUUAUUUUUAAUCAAGUAAUUUAGCAGCUAUUUUUUUGCAGCCAUGUAGAACUAAAGCCAAAACUACCUGAAAAGAAUGGGUCUGAGCUACUAAAAUUCUACUACUCUUUUUUUUCCAUUUUUACUAAUAUAUAUAUAAUCACAGAAGAAAGACCGGUCAUGGCUGCGGUGGUAAGUCUUUUUGACUUGGCCAACUUGGCCAUUGGUAGCCCAGAAGUUGGUGCCGUCAAUUUCAACGCCCUGCACGCCCUCCUGCAUGCAAUUCUGCGCCACCUGAAGAUUGAGGAUGUGACGGCGGAGUGGAGAGACGAGGAGCCCCAGGCACCGUCCCGGCAGCCGCCGCACGUCCGAGAGAAACCCAGCCCCUACCAUCACAUGGAGGACAAGCUGCGGGACAUCGAAAGGCAGAUGGCCGUCCUGAGCCAGCUGCCCACCGGCGCCGACCUCCUCACCCGCUCCGGCCCCGGCAGCACGCCCGUCAGCGACAUGUGGCAGAUGAUGCAGCUCGCCAAGAGGGUGGAAGCGAACUCGGACGGCACCUCCAAGGCGAUGACCCUCAUCCAGGACGUGCUGAAGGAGAUCAACGAGCUGAAGAGCUCUCGAGAUGGCCUGUGGGACGAGACCCGGAGGCUCCGGGUGCAGCUCUCUGAGCUCAAUAUGAAGGAGCUGCUGGACAAGACUGCAGCCCUGGAGAAAUGCUGCCAUCGAGUGGACAACCUGGAGAAAUUGCUACAUGACCUACAAGCCAGGAUGAGCCUGUACCCCGAGGACUUGGACAAGUUCAUCACCUGGGACAUCCUGCAGGCGACCCUGGUGGACGAGCGGGCCCAGCUGCAAGAGCAGCUCAAGGCCCCUCGUUCUAAAGCCCAGACUCCAGAUCAGGCUCCAGGCCAGUUUCAGGUCAUGCUAGGAGCUCCUUCUGCCACCCCUCCCUCUGCCCAAGAAAGCUCCGGCUCUCCAGCCCAGCCUCAGGCUCCGGAGUCCCAGCCAGAGGCGGAGACACCCUUGCCCUUCGCCAGCCC
rnacentral:lncRNA from 1 species